AAUGGACCCGGCUGGACCGGGUGGCUAUCCUGGGCGCCGAUCCCUCAGGGACAC
rnacentral:ncRNA from 1 species